rnacentral:rRNA from 1 species
UACGUAGGGGGGCAAGCGUUGUCCGGAAUCAUUGGGCGUAAAGAGCGUGUAGGCGGCCCGGUAAGUCCGCUGUGAAAGUCCAGGGCUCAACCCUGGGAUGCCGGUGGAUACUGUCGGGCUCGAGUCCGGAAGAGGAGUGUGGAAUUCCUGGUGUAGCGGUGAAAUGCGCAGAUAUCAGGAGGAACACCAAUGGCGAAGGCAGCACUCUGGGACGUGACUGACGCUGAGGAGCGAAAGCGUGGGGAGCGAACAGG